rnacentral:rRNA from 1 species
GACGAACGCUGGCGGCGUGCUUAACACAUGCAAGUCGAACGGUGAACGAGGGAGCUUGCUCCCUCCGGAUCAGUGGCGAACGGGUGAGUAACACGUGAGCAAUCUGCCCCGAACUCUGGGAUAAGCGUUGGAAACGACGUCUAAUACCGGAUACGACGCGGGAGGGCAUCCUCUCCGCGUGGAAAGAACUUCGGUUCGGGAUGAGCUCGCGGCCUAUCAGCUUGUUGGUGAGGUAACGGCUCACCAAGGCGACGACGGGUAGCCGGCCUGAGAGGGUGACCGGCCACACUGGGACUGAGACACGGCCCAGACUCCUACGGGAGGCAGCAGUGGGGAAUAUUGCACAAUGGGCGCAAGCCUGAUGCAGCGACGCCGCGUGAGGGACGACGGCCUUCGGGUUGUAAACCUCUUUUAGCAGGGAAGAAGCGAAAGUGACGGUACCUGCAGAAAAAGCACCGGCUAACUACGUG